rnacentral:rRNA from 1 species
CCUACGGGGGCUGCAGUGGGGGAUAUUGGACAAUGGGGGGAACCCUGAUCCAGCGACGCCGCGUGAGUGAAGAAGUAUUUCGGUAUGUAAAGCUCUGUCAGCAGGGAAGAAAGCAAUGACGGUACCUGACCAAGAAGCCCCGGCUAACUACGUGCCAGCAGCCGCGGUAAUACGUAGGGGGCAAGCGUUAUCCGGAAUUACUGGGGGUAAAGGGAGCGUAGACGGCUGUGCAAGUCUGGAGUGAAAGGCGGGGGCCCAACCCCCGGACUGCUCUGGAAACUGUAUGGCUGGAGUGCAGGAGAGGUAAGCGGAAUUCCUAGUGUAGCGGUGAAAUGCGUAGAUAUUAGGAGGAACACCAGUGGCGAAGGCGGCUUACUGGACUGUAACUGACGUUGAGGCUCGAAAGCGUGGGGAGCAAACAGGAUUAGAUACCCUUGUAGUC